rnacentral:rRNA from 1 species
AGAGUUUGAUCCUGGCUCAGGAUGAACGCUAGCGACAGGCUUAACACAUGCAAGUCGAGGGGCAGCACGGUGUAGCAAUACACUGGUGGCGACCGGCGCACGGGUGAGUAACACGUGUGCAACCAACCCCGUACCGGGAGAUAACCCGCGGAAACGUGGACUAACAUCCCAUGAUACUCGAGAGCCGCAUGGCUCUAGAUUUAAAAUUCCGGUGGUACGGGACGGGCACGCGCGACAUUAGGUAGUUGGCGGGGUAAGGGCCCACCAAGCCGACGAUGUCUAGGGGUUCUGAGAGGAAGGUCCCCCACACUGGAACUGAGACACGGUCCAGACUCCUACGGGAGGCAGCAGUGAGGAAUAUUGGUCAAUGGGCGAGAGCCUGAACCAGCCAAGUCGCGUGAGGGACGAAUGGUCUAUGGCCUGUAAACCUCUUUUGUCAAGGAAGAAUAAAUCGCACGGGUGCGAUCUUGCCAGUACUUGACGAAUAAGCAUCGGCUAACUCCGUGCCAGCAGCCGCGGUAAUACGGGGGAUGCGAGCGUUAUCCGGAUUUAUUGGGUUUAAAGGGCGCGUAGGCGGGACGUCAAGUCAGCGGUAAAAGACUGCAGCUAAACUGUAGCACGCCGUUGAAACUGGCGCCCUCGAGACGAGACGAGGGAGGCGGAACAAGUGAAGUAGCGGUGAAAUGCAUAGAUAUCACUUGGAACCCCGAUAGCGAAGGCAGCUUCCCAGGCUCGUUCUGACGCUGAUGCGCGAGAGCGUGGGUAGCGAACAGGAUUAGAUACCCUGGUAGUCCACGCCGUAAACGAUGCUCACUGGAUCUUGGCGAUACACUGCCAGGGUUCAAGCGAAAGUAUUAAGUGAGCCACCUGGGGAGUACGUCGGCAACGAUGAAACUCAAAGGAAUUGACGGGGGCCCGCACAAGCGGAGGAACAUGUGGUUUAAUUCGAUGAUACGCGAGGAACCU